GAGGACUAACUUUCUUUAUCCAAGGUUCCAUAUCAUUCUCCCUCUCUCUCUCCGCACCUCUAGCGAUAAGCACGCUGAGGUUCUAAAUUUCUUGGUUUCUCUAACAUUUUUCAUCUUACAGAUGUAGUUAAUAUAAUUAUCUCUUUGCUUCCACUUUGCCCUAAUUUUAUGUCUUAUGCACACAGUGCUGUUGAUCAAUUUAGAAGG
rnacentral:misc_RNA from 1 species